rnacentral:misc_RNA from 1 species
GAUGAAGAACGUAGCGAAAUGCGAUAAGUAAUGUGAAUUGCAGAAUUCGGUGAAUCAUCGAAUCUUUGAACGCACCUUGCGCCUUUUGGUAUUCCGAAAGGCACACCUGUUUGAGCGUCAUGAAUACCUCAAUCUCCAUCUUUUCUUCGGAUUGAUGGGUGACUUGGAUGUUGAGCCCUGCUGGUAUGCUAUAUCAGCUGGCUUUAAACUUAUUAGCCGGCUCUGUACUGGAUCGGUUUGACUCGACGUGAUAAUAUUAUCGUUGAGGAUGCAUGUCUCAUGCAGCCGGAAAGUAUCAAAGCAGCUUCUAGCUUGCCUUUAGUGCACUUUUACAUUUUAGACCUCAGAUCAGGUGGGACUACCCGCUGAACUUAAGCAUAUCAAUAAGCGGAGGA